UUGCUCACUGUUCUUCCCUAG
rnacentral:miRNA from 3 species